rnacentral:tRNA from 1 species
GGGGGUGUAGCUCAGCCUGGUAGAGCGCUACGUUCGCAACGUAGAAGUCGUGGGUUCAAGUCCCAUCACCUCCACCC